rnacentral:rRNA from 1 species
UACGUAGGGGGGCGAGCGUUGUCCGGAUUUAUUGGGCGUAAAGAGCGUGUAGGCGGCCAGGUAGGUCUGCUGUGAAAACUCGAGGCUCAACCUCGAGACGUCGGCGGAAACCAUCUGGCUAGAGUCCGGAAGAGGAGAGUGGAAUUCCUGGUGUAGCGGUGAAAUGCGCAGAUAUCAGGAGGAACACCUAUGGCGAAGGCAGCUCUCUGGGACGGUACUGACGCUGAGGUGCGAAAGCGUGGGGAGCAAACAGG